GGAAUUGUUCGCAAUGGGCGCAAGCCUGACGACGCAACGCCGUGUGGAGGAUGAAGACCUUCGGGUCGUAAACUCCUUUCGAUCGAGACGAACGGCCUCCGGGUGAACAAUCCGGAGGAGUGACGGUACCGAGAGAAGAAGCCCCGGCUACCUCCGAGCCAGCAGCCGCGGUAAUACGGGGGGGGCAAGCGUUGUUCGGAAUUACUGGGCGUAAAGGGCUCGUAGGUGGCCAACUAAGUCAGACGUGAAAUCCCUCGGCUUAACCGGGGAACUGCGUCUGAUACUGGAUGGCUGGAGUAUGGGAGAGGGAUGCGGAAUUCCAGGUGUAGCGGUGAAAUGCGUAGAUAUCUGGAGGAACACCGGUGGCGAAGGCGGCAUCCUGGACCAUUACUGACGCUGAGGAGCGAAAGCCAGGGGAGCAAA
rnacentral:rRNA from 1 species